rnacentral:rRNA from 1 species
GACGAACGCUGGCGGCGUGCUUAACACAUGCAAGUCGAACGGAAAGGCCCUGCUUUUGUGGGGUGCUCGAGUGGCGAACGGGUGAGUAACACGUGAGUAACCUGCCCUUGACUUUGGGGUAACUUCAGGAAACUGGGGCUAAUACCGGAUAGGAGCUCCUGCUGCGUGGUGGGGGUUGGAAAGUUUCGGCGGUUGGGGAUGGACUCGCAGCUUAUGAGCUUGUUGGUGGAGUAGUGGCUUACCAAGGCUUUGACGGGUAGCCGGCCUGAGAGGGUGACCGGCCACAAUGGGCCUGCGAUACGGCCCAGAAUGCUACGGGAGGCAGCAGUGGGGAAUAUUGCACAAUGGGCGGAAGCCUGAUGCAGCAACGCCGCGUGCGGGAUGACGGCCUUCGGGUUGUAAACCGAUUUCGCCUGUGACGAAGCGUGCGUGACGGUAAUGGGUAAAGAAGCACCGGCUAACUACGUG